GUGCUUGUUUCAGCAGCACAUAUACUAAGACUGGAAUGAUGUAGAGAAGAUUAGCAUGGCCCCUGAGCAAGGAUGACAUGCAAAUUUGUGAAGUGUUCCACAUUUUU
ensembl:snRNA RNU6-246P RNA, U6 small nuclear 246, pseudogene